ACAUGCAGUCGAGCGCGGGAAGCAAGCUGAUCCUCUUCGGAGGUGACGCUUGUGGAACGAGCGGCGGACGGGUGAGUAACACGUGGGCAACCUGCCUGUAAGACUGGGAUAACCCCGGGAAACCGGGGCUAAUACCGGAUAAUACUUUUCAUCACCUGAUGAGAAGUUGAAAGGUGGCUUUUAGCUACCACUUACAGAUGGGCCCGCGGCGCAUUAGCUAGUUGGUGAGGUAACGGCUCACCAAGGCAACGAUGCGUAGCCGACCUGAGAGGGUGAUCGGCCACACUGGGACUGAGACACGGCCCAGACUCCUACGGGAGGCAGCAGUAGGGAAUCUUCCGCAAUGGACGAAAGUCUGACGGAGCAACGCCGCGUGAGUGAUGAAGGUUUUCGGAUCGUAAAGCUCUGUUGUUAGGGAAGAACAAGUGCCGUUCGAAUAGGGCGGCACCUUGACGGUACCUAACCAGAAAGCCCCGGCUAACUACGUGCCAGCAGCCGCGGUAAUACGUAGGGGGCAAGCGUUGUCCGGAAUUAUUGGGCGUAAAGCGCGCGCAGGCGGUCCUUUAAGUCUGAUGUGAAAGCCCACGGCUCAACCGUGGAGGGUCAUUGGAAACUGGAGGACUUGAGUACAGAAGAGGAGAGUGGAAUUCCACGUGUAGCGGUGAAAUGCGUAGAGAUGUGGAGGAACACCAGUGGCGAAAGCGACUCUCUGGUCUGUAACUGACGCUGAGGCGCGAAAGCGUGGGGAGCGAACAGGAUUAGAUACCCUGGUAGUCCACGCCGUAAACGAUGAGUGCUAGUGUUAGGGGUUUCCGCCCCUUAGUGCUGAAGUUAACGCAUUAAGCACUCCGCCUGGGGAGUACGGCCGCAAGGCUGAAACUCAAAAGAAUUGACGGGGGCCCGCACAAGCGGUGGAGCAUGUGGUUUAAUUCGACGCAACGCGAAGAACCUUACCAGGUCUUGACAUCCUCUGCAAUCGGUAGAGAUACCGAGUUCCCUUCGGGGACAGAGUGACAGGUGGUGCAUGGUUGUCGUCAGCUCGUGUCGUGAGAUGUUGGGUUAAGUCCCGCAACGAGCGCAACCCUUGAUCUUAGUUGCCAGCAUUUAGUUGGGCACUCUAAGGUGACUGCCGGUGACAAACCGGAGGAAGGUGGGGAUGACGUCAAAUCAUCAUGCCCCUUAUGACCUGGGCUACACACGUGCUACAAUGGAUGGAACAAAGGGAAGCAAAACCGCGAGGUCAAGCAAAUCCCAUAAAACCAUUCUCAGUUCGGAUUGCAGGCUGCAACUCGCCUGCAUGAAGCCGGAAUCGCUAGUAAUCGCGGAUCAGCAUGCCGCGGUGAAUACGUUCCCGGGCCUUGUACACACCGCCCGUCACACCACGAGAGUUGGUAACACCCGAAGUCGGUGAGGUAACCUUUUGGAGCCAGCCGCCGAAG
rnacentral:rRNA from 1 species